rnacentral:tmRNA from 1 species
CUUGGGGUGUAUCUAAGGCUACCAACCGCUGAAGCCUGUUUGCCGGCGUCAGCGUGAGGGAACUUCAAAAGACAGACUGCACUCGGAGAAAAUCGUGUGGACGGGUUUUCGGACAGGGGUUCAAUUCCCCUCGGCUCCACCA